GCCCAGUACGGCGAGUGAGCGGCAAAAGCUCAAAUUUGAAAUCCUGCGGGAAUUGUAAUUUGAAGGUUUCGUGGUCUGAGUCGGCCGCGCCCAAGUCCAUUGGAACAUGGCGCCUGGGAGGGUGAGAGCCCCGUCCGGCGCACGCCGACUCUUUGCACCGCGGCUCCGACGAGUCGAGUUGUUUGGGAAUGCAGCUCUAAGUGGGUGGUAAAUUCCAUCUAAAGCUAAAUAUUGGCGAGAGACCGAUAGCGAACAAGUACAGUGAUGGAAAGAUGAAAAGCACUUUGAAAAGAGAGUGAAACAGCACGUGAAAUUGUUGAAAGGGAAGGGCUUGCAAGCAGACACGGUUUUACCGGGCCAGCGUCGAAAAGGGGGGAGGAACAAGAACUCGAGAAUGUGGCGCGCACCUUCGGGUGCGCGUGUUAUAGCUCGUGUUGACGCCUCCAUCCUUUUUCGAGGCCUGCGAUUCUAGGACGCUGGCGUAAUGGUUGCAAGCCGCCCGUCUUGAACCACGGACCA
rnacentral:rRNA from 1 species